AUCUUCAUUAAUGAUCUGGAUGAUGGGAUGGAUUGCAGCCUCAGCAAGUUCACAGAAGACACUAAACUGGCGGGAGAGGUAGAUUUGCUGGAGGGUAGAGAUUGGGUCCAGAGUGACCUAGACAAAUCAGAGGAUUAGGCUAAAAAAAAUCUGAUGAGGUUCAACAAGGAUAACUGAAGAGUCCUGCACUUAAGACAGACGAAGCCCAUGCACUGCCACAGACUGAGGACCGACUGAGUGAGGGGGGAUUCGAUAGCAGCCUUCAUCUAUCUGAAGGGGGAGGUUCAAAGAGGACAGAGCUACACUGUUCUCUGUGGUGGCAGGUGACAGAACAAGGAGCAACAGUCUCAUGUUGCAGUGGGGGAGGUCUAGGUUGGAUAAUAG